AGACCUCCCUUUCAGAUGCCCUUACCAGGAUGACCGUUACCUGACCACAUUGGUUCCAGUGACUGGAUCAUCAGGUCUUCACUUCCCAACCCACUACAAGCGCUUUAUUGUGAAGAUGUUCACAUUUGUGGAUCCAGAGUCACUGGCUCCUCUGCAGGAAACCAUCUUCAUCCACUGUAGUACUGCGGUGUGCCAUCCAUCUUCUGGCUCCUGUGAGCAAAGCUGCGGCAGGAAGAGAAGGGACACUCAUGUCAAGACCAUCUCUAGUGCGCAGACUGUGGUUUCUAGUGGAGGAGUUACUCUGAUCAUGUAAAUCUAGCGGUUUUAAUAAGCUUUUUGACGUGGCAAGGUAGCUUUGUCUGUUAUUGUAUUGACCUUGCAGAGUCUAAAGUUACGUACAUGUACCCAGUUUGUUUCUUGGUCUACACUAUUAAACUAACUUUCCAGUA